CAGUAUUAUAGUGGAAAACUAUAGUUGGACAAAGGGAGUGUUUUAAAAUAAACUAAAUAGAAAUAUAAGAAAUCAAAUUAAAAAAGAACAAAAUAAUAACUUCAACAUUUUAGGUGUAAAGCCACAUAAAAUCAAGACAACGCUUGUUACGUGUUGCCUAAACUAUUCAAGGCUAAAAUUUAAGUUUUUAGCUUUUUACUAAGAUAAUAUUUGCAACACUAAUAAAAUGUUCUCUUUAGUAGUAUAGGCUAAACUUUAUAAGCAUUGUCACAUAAUGAUAUAAUUGGCCACACCUAUUCAUGUAAAUGACUACACUUUCAAAGUGAGCUAUUUUUAUAGUCAUAAAAACAACACUUACCAAGUGGGGCCGUAUAGUUUUCACUACAUUAUUUUGUUACCUCCAACAAUUUAACUAUCCCUCAAAUUUUCCCUUGUCCUCAAAGAAAAUUCAUAAAGAAUAAAAAAAAACUCUCCAAAGUCUCUAAAAGAGAUUCUAGUUGCCCUAGAUCUGAAUUUUUUGAAGGUUUUGUAAGAACAUAUUUUCUCCCAAACUAAUAGGGACAGAGCAAUGAAGUUGAUACCGUAAAGUUUCAUCACAUCUAAAGGGUGUUGUUGGAAUAGAGUUUAUCAGGUCAAGAUAAGAUUACAUAUUGAUAGGAGUAUGCAAUAUUUGUCAUUAUUUCAUUUUAUUGUGGUAUCAAGAGCUGAGGGAUUUGGUGGAGUGUGGAUUUAUAAAUCCUCAUGAAGGUCACGUAGAACGACUAAAAGAGAAUCGCAAGAAAGUCUCGAAGGAAAAUUUCCUGAUUCAACAAGACCUUCAUGAUUCUAUUUUUUCCCGAAUUUCAGCAGCAUAGUAUUCUCACAAAGCCUAGGAAAUCCUCUAACAUGAGUAUAUGGGAGAUAGGAAGGUAAUCGCUGUAAAAUUGCAAGCUUUCCGUCGUGAUUUUGAAACUUUACUUAUGAAAAGUAAUGAAUUUGUUCAAGAUGAUAUGUCUAGGGUUUCUUCCAUUGUUAACCUCAUGAAGUAGUAUGGGGAGAAUAUUGGUUAUGAACCUUUUGUUGCUAAGGUAUUGAGAUUUUUAACAAAAAAAAUUUGAGCAUGUGGUUGCUGCUAUAGAAGAAACCACAAAUUGAUGUGAUUAUUCAUUUGAUGAAUUAGUGGGUUCUUUAUUAUUUCAUAAAGAUAUGAUAGUCAAGUCAUAUUUCAAAGGAAAAGAAAAAGCAUUCCAGGUGAAAUUGGAUCCAUUUUUCUCCAAAGAAAAACCCUCACAUUUUUCUUGCAAAGGUAGAGGAAGAGGCGGAUUUCAUGCCCGAGGCCGAUGGUGCAGUAGAGGAAGAAAGGAAAUUCAAUGACACUCGUCAACUCACGAGUGACAUUCAGUGCCAGCAUUCCAAGAAGAUCGGUCAUACUGAAACAUAUGGUCAGACUAAGUUAAAGGACGGACAUAAUCAUGAAAAUUAUUGUGAGCACACUGAGAAUGGAAGUAACCUUUAGAUGGAUCAUUCUUCAAUUAUUCACAUAACUGAUAAUGUUUUGGUUUAAUUAUAGUGGAUGCUCGAAUCAUAGGACUUUGUGAUGACAAACAAGUUUGAGUUGAAGGCAAAGGAACUAUAGCCUCCAUUACAAUGUAGGGUAAUGUAAAAAACCUUUGUGAUGUGCAACUAGUUCUUGGUUUGGCAUAUUAAGAACAUGUUUCUUCUUAAUUUUUCAAGUGUGGAAAAUAAUUCGUUAAUUGCUAUAGCUGUUAAUGAAACUAAACUUUAGCAUCAUCGCUAUGGUCAAUUGAACAUUAAUGGGCUAAAAUUACUGACUAGGAAGAAAAUGGUAGUUGUUUUACCAGAAAUGGGUUAUCUUGAUUUAUGUGAAAGUUGCAUCUUCAUGACACAGUACAAAAUCGUUUCCUGUAGGAAAAUUAGGGAGAGUUUCACAUUGUCUUGAGCUUAUACAUGCCAACCUAUGUGGACCAAUGAAGACUGAGUCACUUGGUGGGAGUCGGUAUUUUCUUCUAUUUAGCGAUGAUUAUAGCCGUAUGAGCUGGGAUUAUUUUCUCAAUUUGAAAUUAUAGGCAUUUGAGAAUUUCUGGAAAUUCAAGGCACUCAUGGAGAAGCAAACAUGCUGCAAAAUUAAGGCUCUUUGGACAAACCUUGGUGCUGAAUUUUUAUUUAAUUAUUACACUUUAUCUUGUGAAGAGAAUGUAAUUUGAAGGGAGCUUACCACAAUGUACUCUCCAACAAAAGUAGUUUCGAAUCAAACUCCAUAGGAAGCAUGGACGAGGUGGAAUCCACGUGUAAGACACUUUAAAGUUUUUGGUUGUAUAGCUUAUGCUUUGGUUAGUUUAUGUUCUAAGUUAUAUAAGAAAUUACAGAAAUGCACUUUCAUUUGUUAUAAUCUUCAAUCCAAAGCAUAUAGACUAUAUAAUCCUACUAGUGGCAAAGUUAUUAUCACCA